AAAAAACCCAUCUGGUUCAAGAAUAUAGCACAUGGAUGAGGUGCUUGCGCUUUAUCUGUGCAGAAUUGAUAUCAAGAGAUUUUGGAAGCACAAUUUUUGUUUCUUGGAGCUGCUAGUGAUUGUUUGUCUUGGCGCUCCA